rnacentral:rRNA from 1 species
UACAGAGGGGGCAAGCGUUGUUCGGAAUUACUGGGCGUAAAGGGCGCGUAGGCGGCCUGUUAAGUCGAACGUGAAAUCCCCGGGCUCAACCCGGGAACUGCGUCCGAUACUGGCAGGCUUGAAUCCGGGAGAGGGAUGCGGAAUUCCAGGUGUAGCGGUGAAAUGCGCAGAUAUCAGGAGGAACACCGGUGGCGAAGGCGGAUCUCUGGGCCAUUACUGACGCUGAGGAGCGAAAGCGUGGGGAGGCGAACAGG